UUGACACAGAGAAGUAGUGACAAGAAAUAUCAAUAGAGGGCGUUUUAUACGUCUUCUAAUUGGAAUGAGAACAAGGUAAACAGCUUAUCGAGGAUCCAGCAGAGGGCAAGUCUGGUGCCAGCAGCCGCGGUAAUUCCAGCUCUGUAAGCGUAUACCAAAGUUGUUGCAGUUAAAACGCUCGUAGUCGGAUUUUGGGGCAGCCCGUGCUGUGCGCGUAGUGCGUGCGGCGCUGGGAUGUUCUUUUGUGGAGGGCGGCGCGUCGUGGCUUCACUGUCGCGGCGUGUCGGCACCACCGUUUACUGUGAAAAAAUUAGAGUGUUCAAAGCAGGCGUUUGCCGUGAAUACAUUAGCAUGGAAUAAUAGAAUAGGACUUGGUUUCUAUUUUGUUGGUUUGUGAGAGCCGAGUAAUGAUUAAGAGGGACGGUUGGGGGCAUUCGUAUUCCAGCGUCAGAGGUGAAAUUCUUGGAUUGCUGGAAGACAAACCGCUGCGAAAGCGUCUGCCAAGGACGUUUUCAUUGAUCAAGAACGAAAGUAAGGGGAUCGAAGACGAUCAGAUACCGUCGUAGUCUUUACUAUAAACGAUGAGAACUGGGGAUCGGGCGGGCAUUAUGAUGACCCGUCCGGAACCCUCCGGGAAACCAAAGUGUUUGCUUUCUGGGGGGAGUGUGGUCGCAAGGCUGAAACUUAAAGGAAUUGACGGAAGGGCAUCACCGGGUGUGGAGCCUG
rnacentral:rRNA from 1 species